CAGUCGCCGCGGUAAAACGGAGGGAGCUAGCGUUGUUCGGAAUUACUGGGCGUAAAGCGCGCGUAGGCGGUUACUCAAGUCAGAGGUGAAAGCCCGGGGCUCAACCCCGGAACUGCCUUUGAAACUAGGUGACUAGAAUCUUGGAGAGGUCAGUGGAAUUCCGAGUGUAGAGGUGAAAUUCGUAGAUAUUCGGAAGAACACCAGUGGCGAAGGCGACUGACUGGACAAGUAUUGACGCUGAGGUGCGAAAGCGUGGGGAGCAAACAGGAUUAGAUACCCCCGUAGUCCCUGUCUCUUAUAC
rnacentral:rRNA from 1 species